UUCACGAAGACAAAACUUUAUCCGGCGGCCGCCAUUUAAUUCCUCGGUUAAGGCGACUAAAACUUGAACAUUAAGCUCGUUUUGACAGCUUACAGAACUGACAGUUUGCCCAUAAUUGCCUUUUGGAAACAGGACAAUGUGCUUUUGAUAUUAGGAUACUGUUCAGACAGCGAGGACAUCUCUGGACUCUACAUGGGAAACUAGUGACAAGAAGCCAAGAUUCAUUAAAAGUUCAAGACCAGCAAAGGCAAUGUUUCGUAAAAACAAGGGACAAGAACUCAUCAGUAGGAUUUGAAGCGUUGCAUGGUUGGAGUAAUAACCAGGUGACGUUUGGGGUAGCACCAUUUGUAAAUCUCUUUUGAGUAAUGUUGGUUCUCAACCAGUGAAUGAAAACACACAAUUUCCCCAGUACACUACUUAAAGAGAUGUUCACCUUGCACACACAUCAUCACCUUAAGAACCCAUCAGAAGAAACAUCAGCCAUCAACGCUAAUGAUGUUGGAAUUGUAUUACACGAUACUAAACUGUAAAAAAAAAAAAAAUUAUCCUCGCAGCAAACGUGAAAACAAAACAACUUUUUAGUUUUUGGUACUGCUUAAAAAAGUGCUAGAAAAACACAAGUGAGAAUUAAAGCUUGACAGUUUUUUGAUAAAUGUUCAUUAUUUAUAAUAUAGAGAAAACUUGUGAUGUUCAACAACAACUUCUUGGUGUUAUGUUAACAAUUAUAGUUUUACCAAACUUAUUUGGACUCAUUCAUUGACAAAUCAGAGAAAAACCACAUGAAUAACACAAGGCUACUUGUCAGGAACUUUAUCUUUGCAACUUUCUAUAAUUUGUAUUGAACAUUAGUGUGUUUGUUUAUAAGAAAAAAUGUAAACCACUGAAGCAAUUUGUAAAUAAAACAUUGUUUAUUCAUUGGAAAUAUUCAACAA